rnacentral:rRNA from 1 species
AGAGUUUGAUCAUGGCUCAGAGCGAACGCUGGCGGCAGGCUUAACACAUGCAAGUCGAGCGGGCGUAGCAAUACGUCAGCGGCAGACGGGUGAGUAACGCGUGGGAACAUACCUUUUGGUUCGGAACAACACAGGGAAACUUGUGCUAAUACCGGAUAAGCCCUUACGGGGAAAGAUUUAUCGCCGAAAGAUUGGCCCGCGUCUGAUUAGCUAGUUGGUGAGGUAACGGCUCACCAAGGCGACGAUCAGUAGCUGGUCUGAGAGGAUGAUCAGCCACAUUGGGACUGAGACACGGCCCAAACUCCUACGGGAGGCAGCAGUGGGGAAUAUUGGACAAUGGGCGCAAGCCUGAUCCAGCCAUGCCGCGUGAGUGAUGAAGGCCCUAGGGUUGUAAAGCUCUUUUGUGCAGGAAGAUAAUGACGGUACCGCAAGAAUAAGCCCCGGCUAACUUCGUGCCAGCAGCCGCGGUAAUACGAAGGGGGCUAGCGUUGCUCGGAAUCACUGGGCGUAAAGGGUGCGUAGGCGGGUCUUUAAGUCAGGGGUGAAAUCCUGGAGCACAACUCCAGAACUGCCUUUGAUACUGAGGAUCUUGAGUUCGGGAGAGGUGAGUGGAACUGCGAGUGUAGAGGUGAAAUUCGUAGAUAUUCGCAAGAACACCAGUGGCGAAGGCGGCUCACUGGCCCGAUACUGACGCUGAGGCACGAAAGCGUGGGGAGCAAACAGGAUUAGAUACCCUAGUAGUCC